rnacentral:lncRNA from 1 species
ACCAUCUAAGAAAACACAUCGUUGUCAGCUAUCUAAUGUGACAGGUACCAUGUAAUAUGUUAUUAUAGUGCUUUGUGCCUCAAUCUUUGUUUCUACCAAACAUGAGCCCGAAUUUGUGGUCCUGCACACUAUGCUCCUUUUCACGUCGUACUCCACGCAUCCGUUUUUGAUGCUUCUUUGAAACAGAUCUGACUGUUCCUGUUAAUAUGCCUUCCUUUUCCUCACAACCAACUGCUCCCUUUGUAUAUACACUCAAAGGUAUACUUCGAAUUCUCUGUAUCAACUAUCUAUUUCCCGUGGACUCUUUCUCUCCGAUUUUUAUCGUUUUUGUUCUUCUGUUAGAUGGCCCCGAUCGACACGAGGUGUCAAGUCCUCAGGCUACGGAAUCCCGCCGUAGACGAAAACGGAAAUUAGAUCAACGACUUUUUGCACAGUCAGGUCGUGCCUUCUCCCUGUUACACUACUGUGUGUUGCUUCCUGUGCCACGUGGUAUUUGGUUCUACGUGGUUCUGUGUUGCUUCUUUGACACAUCUUUCCACGCGUGUGAUCAGGCAAACUUUAUCUUAAGGCAACAAAUCGUGGGUGUGGCCAAUUUACGCAAUCCUUCAUAGAUGCACUCAAGGGUACAUUUUUGCUCCGCCAUUCUAGUCCUUUCUAGACCUAUGUACCCAUCCUAUUUCUUCGAUAGCGUUUUCCCGGUAUCGACUGUGUAUUGCUAUUCUUAAGUACCCUCUUCUUGCUUCGCAGCAUCUCAUCCAGGAAGAUCUUAUUAUGGGCCGCCGGAGUAUAGAUGUCCCCAUUGCCAUGCUAUUUUUUGGCAUCAGGAGAGCAUAAAAUGUG